CUGGGCUACACGCGGGCUACAAUGGGUGGGACAAUGGGUAUCGACACCGAAAGGUGAAGGCCAAUCUCCUAAACCCAUCUGUAGUUCGGAUUGUGGGCUGCAACUCGCCCACAUGAAGCUGGAAUCUGUAGUAAUCGUGUCUCAAAAUGGCACGGUGAAUAUGUCCCUGCUCCUU
rnacentral:rRNA from 1 species